CACGUAGGCGGAUUGCUAAGUCAGGGUGAAAUCCUGGAGCUCAACUCCAGAACUGCCCUUGAUACUGGCGGUCUCGAGUCCGGGAGAGGUGAGUGGAACUGCGAGUGUAGAGGUGAAAUUCGUAGAUAUUCGCAAGAACACCAGUGGCGAAGGCGGCUCACUGGCCCGGUACUGACGCUGAUACGCGAAAGCGUGGGGAGCGAACA
rnacentral:rRNA from 1 species